UACGUAGGGUGCAAGCGUUGUCCGGAAUUAUUGGGCGUAAAGAGCUCGUAGGCGGUCUGUCGCGUCUGCUGUGAAAACUCAGGGCUUAACCCUGAGCUUGCAGUGGGUACGGGCAGACUAGAGUGCGGUAGGGGAGACUGGAAUUCCUGGUGUAGCGGUGAAAUGCGCAGAUAUCAGGAGGAACACCCGUGGCGAAGGCGGCCUUCUGGGUCCGCCCUGACGCUGAGGCGCGAAAGCGUGGGUAGCAAACAGG
rnacentral:rRNA from 1 species